GAGUGUAAAAAGAGACUGUAAAAGAUAGCAAUAAUUUUUAUAAUACAUGUUGAAAUAACAUUUUGAGAAUAUUGAGUUAAAUAAAAUAUAUAAUUAAAGUUAAUUUUACUAGUUUCUUUCUACUUUUUAAAUGUGACUACUAGAAAAUUUAAAAAUAUAUAAGUGGCUCACAUUCGUGACUCAGAUUACAUUCAUCAUUCAUACUGGACAGUGCUGGGCUAGGCAGUCACCACAGGAAAUCAGAAAGGGCAUCUCUCAAGGGUUGCAUACCUUCCUGGUCCAAUAAGAAUAUGAGAGUCAAAUGCAGCUUCUACUUCUCCCAGGCAUUUCAAAUUAGUGCCUUGCUGUGUGAUAGUGAGUUCUUUGCUCAACCCCUCUGGACUCUCACCAUUUCAUCCCAUUCUUUAUUCCCCAGACCAACUCCAGGCUGAUAGGAAAAAAGAUGAAAACAGAUUCUUCAAAAGCAUGAAUAAAAAUGACAUGAAGAGCUGGGGCUUGUUACAGAAAAAUAAUCAUAAAAUGAACAAAACCUCAGAGCCCGGGUCAUCUUCUGCAGGCGGCAGAACUACAUCGGGGCCACCAAAUCACCACUCUUCAGCCCCAUCCCACUCCCUGUUUCGGGCCUCGUCUGCUGGGAAAGUCACUUUUCCAGUAUGUCUCCUGGCCUCUUAUGAUGAGAUUUCUGGUCAAGGAGCGAGCUCUCAGGAUACGAAGACAUUUGACGUUGCGCUGUCCGAGGAGCUCCAUGCGGCACUGAGUGAGUGGCUGACAGCGAUCCGGGCUUGGUUUUGUGAGGUUCCUUCAAGCUAAGCCAGCUCAGAGAACACGGGGAGCGGUGGUGCUACACGGACUUCGGAGCAUAGAGUGGCGCUGAUGGAAAAAGGAAGUCCCUGCAGCAGUCCCCGCACUCUUUAAGCAGCUGUUUACCGAAGGCACCAGUUCAGCCAGGAGUGAAAUCCGGAGAGGAGCAACGCCAGCCUGGGUCACAGUCCAUCAAACCCCAUGAGCCCGACCACUCUCGCUCUUCCUUACAUUCCCACGUCCCCCUUCUCUCCCAACCCCUCAUAUCAGCAAGGGAAAUUAAUUAAUGAGAUUUGAUAAAUCAGUAGAUAGAAUGAGGUCCCCAUUCUGAAAUAUUUAGCAGACUGGAACCACCACGCAAGCCUCUGUAGGGGGUGGAUGGAGACACUUCUAACUUUAAUAAACUGCGACUGAACGUGGAA
rnacentral:lncRNA from 10 species